CACAUCACUUGGAAACACUGGUUCCUGUAUGAUCACCAGAGUUAAGCAACAUCAAGCUUGGUCAGUACCUAGGUGGGUGACUGCUUGUGAAUACCAGGUGCUGUAAG